UACGUAGGGGGCAAGCGUUGUCCGGAAUCAUUGGGCGUAAAGAGCGCGUAGGCGGUCCGGUAAGUCCGCUCUGAAAGUCCGGGGCUCAACCCCGGGAGGCGGGCGGAUACUGUCGGGCUAGAGUCCGGAAGAGGCGAGUGGAAUUCCUGGUGUAGCGGUGAAAUGCGCAGAUAUCCAUAGGAACUCCGGUGGCGAAGGCGGCGUGCUGGACCUCUUCUGACGCUGAGGCGCGAAAGCCAGGGGAGCAAACGGG
rnacentral:rRNA from 1 species